AGCACGUGACCCCGCGGCCGCCAUUAGCGGAGCGCGGCCGGGCCGCGGGACUAACAGCGGAGUGAGCGGCCUCCUGCUGGGGCAGCGCUCGGGCACGGCUGCCUCGGGCUGCCCGUGCCCCCCGCGUGCAGCGGCCUUGGCGCCGGGCGUGGAGCGCCUGGCGGCCCCACCGUCGCUGAGCCCGGCCGUGCCUGCGCUGAGCCCUCGCGGCCGCACGGGCGCCGGCUUGUUCGUCAGUAGUUUUUGUUUGUCGAGAGCAGGCAAACCUGUGAAGCUUCUUUAGAAAUCGGGACUGUACUGACCCCUGUACAAAACCGACACAGACGAGCAAGACAGUACAACAAAGAAUGACUUGAAUCAACCAGCAGGAAGCCGGGACCUUUGCAGAGUCUUCUGCAGACAGAUAUGAGCUGGCGUUGCCCAUGCUCCAGCCUCCUGGAAACUGCGUAACAAUACUAGUGCAGAAAUGGCCAAAAAGUAUUUGCUUCGAUUCAAAAGUCUCUCUGUAAAAUUAGGAUUAUUUCCUAGAAUCUGGAAGUAAGAAAAGAGAAAAUGGAAAUAUUUUUCUGGUAGUCCUGAUUUUUAUGUAUAUUUCAAACAUAUCUGAUGCUGGUAAUUCCUGUUAACAGUACAUUCGUUUUUGCACAAUGCAGAUGUUUAACUUUGGUGUACUUGCAAGGUCUUUGUUGUUCCUAUUUCUCCUUUUUCUUAAAAUUUAUGUCCUAUUGUGAGUCAGGACUAUGUUCUGGAAUUCAGGGAUAUAAACAGUUGUCUUUUAUGGAGGAUAAAUGCGGGAAAACCACAUUUCUUUAUGGAUAGACCACGGUAACAUUAAGUACCACCACCCAAAACACAGACUGCCCACAUGAGUGCUCAGCAGUCCCAGCUGCGUGGGUGAAGGGGUUUCAGGGCCAGCCACCGACAGGCUGGCGCUGUCUGAGAGCGUGGGGUGCCUCUGCCCAGGACUGACGGAGGAGCCACAGAAAGCUACAGCGGCAUAAGGACCAGCUUUGGGAUCACGGCCAGACCAAGUUGUCCAACCAACUGCUAACUGGAGGAGACUAGAUACUAUCAGUAAAUAAACCGCCUUUGUUUAAUUCCUCCUGUGACCAAGGAAAUGGACCUUUGUAUGUUCUCUGGAAAAGAAAAGGGCUACAUCAAAGUAGUACCUUGCUUCAUUCUCAGUUUCUCCUAGUGGAAAACAACUGACAAGAUUCCAAUACAGACCACUGACUUGGGUCAAAACCAAAAGCUAUAUUCUUGAUUUAUAAUUCCACAUGAAGCGGUGUUCUGGGGAUGUAAGGUGGACAGGGUGGAAAUGGGAAACAGACUGAGUGUGCAAGGGGUGCGAUUUGAGAGAUUUGGGGAAGCGGCUUUGUUAAAAACAUGCAGUGCAUACUUACUCUGCAAAGCCUUUAAAUACCUGUUUAAUCUUAACCAUAUGUGCACGUCUCACAGAAGAGUCCUUCUCCCUUUCUCUUUCGCUUCUUGUCCCCAGCCUACACUGUAUCCAAGCAGAAGCAGUUAGAGAUCAAGUGCCAUUCAGCCCUGGAGCAGGAGACUGGUGCAGGCUCAGUCAAUUCGGGACUGAGCACAUGCAGCCUGUCAGCACGGAGGAGUUCCCAGGGACUAAAUUGUGCUUCAUGCAGAUAGGAAGGCAAGAUAGCUAUAUGAAAGAUGAAAUUUUUCAGAAGAUUAAAACUUGGCCAAAUUUGGGUUAAUUCUUAGUAGGACAGAAAAAAGCUGUGUCUGUGUCUGACAACAAGACAUCACCCAUAUGCUCCACAGCCCUGUCUCAGGGCUGGCCGAAAAAGCUGCAAGAAUCUUGUCUGUGAAGGCAAAAGGUUGUUUUCUUCCAUAGCCAUGUUCUUGGCUACAAUUGAAAUAAAAUAGCUGAAACUUCAUAUUAUCAGCACAGAAGAAAUAUCUGGAAUGUAAAUUGGGCUGAAUGGCAUUCAACCUGAGUGGCCUCAACCUGGCAAAGUCAUAAUAGGUUGAAAAUAUUUAUAAUAGGAUGUGCCAUUGCCAGACAAUAUUAAUCAUAACUUUAUGAUAUGUUAAUCAUAAAUAUAUGAUAUCAUAAAUACAUGAUAUUACAGUGCUACUAUAUCACUGAAGAUUUCAUAAACAGAAAUAUCCCCAAAUGAUUAUAGGUACUGGCAGUAAAACUAUACGACAGAGUUGGACAUUUCAAGGAUGUUGAAUUUGUGGCAAAAAAUGUUAAAAGUGGCUGUGAAGUUAAAUGGGUAGUUGCUAUUUACAAAUAAGAUGAUUACAUGCUGCUACCAUGGAAACCUGAGAUGGAAAAUACAAAGCCAGUUUAGCUUCAUCUUGAAACUUCCCUGAUUGGGAGGAAAACAAUAUCUGACAUUCCUCCAGCAGGAGACUUAAUUGCCCCUCCUAAAGAACGUAUAGUAUGUUUCUCCACUUUUUUAGCUAUCAUGCAAAGUUUUAAAACUCCAGCCUAGGAUAAUAGAUACAUAUGUUGUUGAGAAUCACAGCACAGCUUGAUUUAUUGUUUUUCUUAUGCUAUUUACUGAAAUGGUAACUAUCAGGCCUCUUCUAAGUCUGCUUCAAGUGAUUUUGUGUCACAUCUCAGUAUACGGCCUGGUAAUUCUCCCCAAGUACACUUUUUCCUUAUCUGUGUUUCUGCUUUGACAAUAUAAUGAGUGAGCACGCUCUAAGGAUGUGACUCGUUUCCAUCAAAACAAGCUUCCUGAGAACCUCAAAACAGACAGGGAGAUGACCACUGGUCUUGCAAAUUUUUAGGACAAUUCUGAAUGUGAAUCAGUUGGCAACAUAAACGGAACAAGUUAUUCCUAAAUAAAAGAUGUACCCAGUGAGAUUGCAGCAAGCGCUAAGGCUGGAAAUCAGAAAACUACACAGAUGGUACCAUCUGUGUGUGUUCUGGGAAUCAUUCUGGUGCUGAAAAACCCCUUCUGAGACAGAUGCACAGAGCCACAGAAGUGUUUGCUAACAGACGCACAUGCUACACCUGCAACAUUGUGUUGGAUCUCCUGUGUUCGCUCGGUAUAUGUAUACAAACGGAGAUGGCAUUUUCAAUGUGCCAAGGCUGGACAAUCAGUGAGUAAAAGGUCUUGUUACCACAGGAAGUUCCAUUAAGGAUGUGAAUAAAAUCGCAAUUCUAGGCUGA